rnacentral:sRNA from 7 species
GCAGGUCCGGGUCUCACGUAGUGAGACAACGGAGCCGCUUGCGGCGACGGCCCGAAGGGCGAGCAAAGCGAGUCAUCCUGCACGACCCACCA